ACAUCUGGUUCUUAUGGAUAGAUGAAAAGUUUCAACUUUUAUUUUGUUAGUAGUGAUCGAUUGUGACCACCUUUUGCAUUCCUGCCACCAGGUGAAAAUUGAGCCUAAUUUAGUUGUCUCCCUUUUAUACUCAAUCUCCUCCAAUACCUACAGGCUACAUCGCUUAUACCUGUUCAUUUCUCUCCACCAGCCUCCUACCUCACCUUCCCCCUUCCUUCCUCUGUCAACGACUAAAAUAGAAUUUCAAAAGGAAGGCAUGGAGAAGGUUAAUAUUGAAAUUGAUAUGCAUAAUAAGAUUCUCAUUAUAUGCAUUUAGACAAUACCUACAGGCUAUAGCGUUUAGACCCCCUUUUGUUAUGCUUGAAAUUUUUCUAUGGAUGUUUUUUGAUAUAAAAAAUCUCAUUAUAUAUGUUCCUUAUAUAUAUAUUAUUUUUUUUAGAAGGGAUAAGGCACUUAAACAAUGGUAUCGUUCAAGGAUGGUGUCGACCAAGGAGCAAUUACAAGGCACUUAAUAUUUUAUCUUUUUUGGGAUAUGUAUAUGCGUACAAUUAUAAUGCACAAUGAAGUAUCGUGUAGUAUUAUGUAAUUGACUUUUUAGUAAUGAAAAUAUUUAUAAUAUUCAGUUUGA
rnacentral:lncRNA from 1 species